CGGCCUGUGCGCAACUGGCGAUAGGCCCGCUGCGCUGGCUGUGUUUAGCCGCUUCGCACCUGCACCGGUGGGCGGCGUUCGCGUCAGCGCGCAUCACCCCAUGGGGGGGCUGACGUGGAAACUUUCACCACGGGGGAGCGCACGGCGGCCCAUCCAGGGCCGUUCUCAGCCGUUCGCCUGGGCAGCCCUU
rnacentral:ncRNA from 1 species